rnacentral:rRNA from 1 species
AUUGAACGCUGGCGGCAGGCCUAACACAUGCAAGUCGAACGGUAACAGGGAUCAGCUUGCUGAUUCGCUGACGAGUGGCGGACGGGUGAGUAAUGUCUGGGAAACUGCCUGAUGGAGGGGGAUAACUACUGGAAACGGUAGCUAAUACCGCAUAACGUCGCAAGACCAAAGAGGGGGACCUUCGGGCCUCUUGCCAUCGGAUGUGCCCAGAUGGGAUUAGCUAGUAGGUGGGGUAACGGCUCACCUAGGCGACGAUCCCUAGCUGGUCUGAGAGGAUGACCAGCCACACUGGAACUGAGACACGGUCCAGACUCCUACGGGAGGCAGCAGUGGGGAAUAUUGCACAAUGGGCGCAAGCCUGAUGCAGCCAUGCCGCGUGUAUGCAGAAGGCCUUCGGGUUGUAAAGUACUUUCAGCGGGGAGGAAGGGAGUAAAGUUAAUACCUUUGCUCAUUGACGUUACCCGCAGAAGAAGCACCGGCUAACUCCGUG